CAAACCUCAAGCCUUUGCUUGCUGUUGGAGCAUUGCGCAUCUCCCUUUUAGGGAACGCAAGCCCUGAAUUAUAGUGGCGGAGCUGCUGUAGACUCUGAGCGUAGUACUACUAUUCGCUUCUGGAAUCUCGGUGGUGCCUGCCGUAAAACCCACUAUAUUUUCUCUU
rnacentral:misc_RNA from 1 species